GACGAACGCUGGCGGCGUGCUUAACACAUGCAAGUCGAACGGAAAGGCCCUGCUUUUGUGGGGUGCUCGAGUGGCGAACGGGUGAGUAACACGUGAGUAACCUGCCCUUGACUUUGGGAUAACUUCAGGAAACUGGGGCUAAUACCGGAUAGGAGCUCCUGCUGCAUGGUGGGGGUUGGAAAGUUUCGGCGGUUGGGGAUGGACUCGCGGCUUAUCAGCUUGUUGGUGGGGUAGUGGCUUACCAAGGCUUUGACGGGUAGCCGGCCUGAGAGGGUGACCGGCGACAUUGGGACUAAGAUACGGACCAGACUCCUACGGGAGGCAGAAGUGGGGAGUAUUGCACAAUGGGCGGAAGCCAGAUGCGGCGACGCCGCGUGCGGGAUGACGGCCUUCGGGUUGUAAACCGCUUUCGCCUGUGACGAAGCGUGAGUGACGGUAAUGGGUAAAGAAGCACCGGCUAACUACGUG
rnacentral:rRNA from 1 species